rnacentral:rRNA from 1 species
UACGGGGGGGGCAAGCGUUGUUCGGAAUUACUGGGCGUAAAGGGCUCGUAGGCGGCCAACUAAGUCGGAUGUGAAAUCCCCAGGCUUAACCUGGGAACUGCAUCCGAUACUGGAUGGCUUGAAUCCGGGAGAGGGAUGCAGAAUUUCCGGUGUAGCGGUGAAAUGCGUAGAUAUCGGAAGGAACAUCAGUGGCGAAAGCGGCUUCCUGGACCAGUACCGACGUUCAGGCACGAAAGCGUGGGGAGCAAACAGG